AUGCCUCUGCUCUCUGCGGCCACAGCUCUCAGCAGCCACCUGCACCUUGGGUUCCAUCCUGUCCUUGAGCUUUGACUCCAGGCUUCCCUGAGCACUGGAGGGAAACGCAGACUGUAAUACCUGCACACUCAGCCGGCAGAUGCCAUUGUUGAUGCGAUGUCAUCCUGACGACCUCACCUUCUCGUGGUGGUUCUCUUGGCUGAGCAGCGCGUGCUGCGGCGGCGGCGGCUUCCUUUGUGACUGCCGCUUUCCCAUUUUGUUGCUUAAAAAGACAAGAUAUCAGCUAUGGAACACAACCAGUUAGCUCUACAAGAGACGAAGGUGCCAAUGAUGGAAGGUCCUAGAAUCUCGUGAUGCAGCGCUUGGCGUGAAUACACAGCGCGUGGAGAUCAAUGAGGGUGAAACUGGCACCGAGCAUCGCUGAGGAGGAGUCACAAUGAGUCACAGCCAUGAAGGAUGCGUACGCUACCUGGCCCCGUCAGGCCUGCUGCUGUUACUCCACUCCCUCUCCCUGGCGGAAACCUUCCCCAGACGCUGCCUUGGCACUUGCUCCUGCAGGAUCGUGCCCAUCCCAGCUCACAAAAAGCACAAAUAAAGCGCGCGAGCGGCGGUUCACGCGGAACGCGGCGGUGGAAUCGUGACGGGAGACCCGCGAUGGACCGACAGCAUCGUUUGGUUUAAAUGUGUCACCGCCGGGCGCGUUUCAGCUGCCGGCCAGCAGAGGGCGGUGCAGGGCAGGAAAGAACAGUAUGUUUGUGGACGACAAUACUCAAAGACAUGCACAUAUGUGCUUCAUGAAGGAAACCAAGUUUUAAUAAAUGUUAGAUAGGGUUGAUUGGGGCUGAAUUCAUAGUUAGUAAUUUCUCUUUAUAUAAGAGAAUAUAUAUAUAUAUAUAUAAGUUAUUAUAAAAGCUUAUGGUAUAUAGUAAUGACAUCAUUACUGUUCCAGCUGAAGCUGAACGUGACAUCAGUUCCUUUAUUUUUGUUUUAAAUUCACAGCCUGUGUUGUCAACGGAUCCACAGAUCAAUAUACAUGUACUAACACCAUAGCUUUCAUUUCAGCUCUAAGAAAAGAAAAUUAUUAUUUUUAUUAGAAUAUUAUUAUCAUUGUUGUUUGAUAUGCUCAGAGGCCAUGGGACCAAUAAAGCACUGAAAAAAUGAGGCCCGGAACGUCAGGGCUCUCAAAACCUUUCAAUAAUACAUAUCUUUAUUAGAAAUGUUACCUGUGACCUAAUGUAAACCAUAUUACAAAUUCAUGCGCUCAAUUAAAAAAUCUCAAUCACAAUAA